CAGUAGCCGCGGUAAUACGAGGGGGGCAAGCGUUGUUCGGAAUUAUUGGGCGUAAAGGGCGCGUAGGCGGUUUGGCAAGUUUGGUGUGAAAUCUUCGGGCUCAACUCGAAGUCUGCACCGAAAACUGCCGGGCUUGAGUAUGGGAGAGGUGAGUGGAAUUUCCGGUGUAGCGGUGAAAUGCGUAGAUAUCGGAAGGAACACCUGUGGCGAAAGCGGCUCACUGGACCAUUACUGACGCUGAGGCGCGAAAGCUAGGGGAGCAAACAGGAUUAGAUACCCCCGUAGUCCCUGUCUCUUAUAC
rnacentral:rRNA from 1 species